rnacentral:rRNA from 1 species
GGCCUACCAUGGUUUUUACGGGUAACGGAGAAUUAGGGUUCGAUUCCGGAGAGGGAGCCUGAGAAACGGCUACCACAUCCAAGGAAGGCAGCAGGCGCGCAAAUUACCCAAUUCCGACACGGAGAGGUAGUGACAAUAAAUAACAAUGUAGAUCCUAACAAGGAUCUGCAAUUGGAAUGAGAACAAUUUAAAUCCCUUAACGAGGAUCAAUUGGAGGGCAAGUCUGGUGCCAGCAGCCGCGGUAAUUCCAGCUCCAAUAGCGUAUAUUAAAGUUGUUGCAGUUAAAAAGCUCGUAGUUGAAUUUCGGGAUCGACGGGUCGGUCGCGCCUCUGGUGUGUACUGGCCCUGUCGGUUUCUCCCUUCUGACGAACCACGAUGUCAUUAAUUUGGUGUCGUGGGAAAUCAGGACUGUUACUUUGAAAAAAUUAGAGUGUUUAAAGCAGGCAUUCGCUUGAAUACAUUAGCAUGGAAUAAUGAAAUAGGACGUUUGAUCUUAUUUUGUUGGUUUCUAAGAUCGACGUAAUGAUUAAUAGGGAUAGUUGGGGGCAUUAGUAUUCAAUUGUCAGAGGUGAAAUUCUUGGAUUUAUUGAAGACUAACUACUGCGAAAGCAUUUGCCAAGGAUGUUUUCAUUAAUCAAGAACGAAAGUUAGGGGAUCGAAGACGAUCAGAUACCGUCGUAGUCUUAACCAUAAACUAUGCCGACUAGGGAUCGGAUGAUGUUAAUUUUUUAAUGACUCAUUCGGCGCCUUACG